GAUGAUGGGUCUUAUAAUGGGCA
rnacentral:siRNA from 1 species